UUGAUGUCUGGGCCGGAAGCUCGGAGGC
rnacentral:piRNA from 1 species